UGAGGGGAAAAAGCCCUAGAUGGGUU
rnacentral:piRNA from 1 species